rnacentral:rRNA from 1 species
AUGCACUGGCUUAUUCCAGGGAAAAGUUCGAGUGAUGCUUUGCUUUUUAUUCAUGAUGAUUCAACUAUGGAGAAGAUAGAGCAUGCAACACCUAUUGGGUCAUGUGCAGAGAUCUAUGUGGAGGAAGUGUCAUUUUUUGAACAAGCAGUAAUGCAGUUACAUUACAGAGUAGAUGAUGUGCCAGUGGUAGUUUUUGAAACAUAUUCCAAGCAUAAAGGUAGCAAAUUUGCAUUGCUAAAUGUGGAUGUUGUGGAGACAGACAUGGUUGAUGAGAUGUUUUUAUCAGAUGUUGCAGCUCAGACAGGAAAAGAAGUAGAGGCACAAGUUGUUGUAGGUGUGAAAAGGUCAGCUGCCGAGGAAGAAAAUCUGAGGAUAAUAAAUCUGGCUCAUGACUCUGUUACUACAUAUCAGAGUCCACUGAAGAUUAAGAAAAGUAGACCAACUAGACUUACAGCUAAAAGAAGAAGAAAAACUCUUGCGGCUCCAGUUGCAGCCACAACAGCUUCAGGUGCAGCUCCAGGAGCUCCAGGUGCAUCCGAGCAGGUCCAUGUGCACCUCCAACAACUCUAG